rnacentral:tRNA from 1 species
GGUUUUAUAUUCAAAAAUGAUUUUGGACUGCAAUUCUGAAGGUGUAAAUAAAAUUACUAAGGCCU